CCUCGCGCCGCGGGGCGGCCUCUCAGAAGCGCCUCAGCCGCGCUGAGGGAACUGCCGGCGGGUUGGGCUUCUCCGCCUGCUUCCUACGCUGCCGUGAGCCUCCGUGAGCGAAUCGGGGACUGCUUGCCCAUCCCGCUGGAAAUCAAAAGGAAGCACUUAGUGAUUAUUCAUUGAUUCUGGUAGAACGUUGCACUUUUCAAGCAGAAAACACAAGAUACUCCCCAUUAACUGAAUCAUCAGUCCAUGGGCAAGGAGCUGAGGAGAUAAAAAACACUAAUCGUAUCUGGUAGCAGCACGUUAAAUGGAAGUGGAAUUUGUUUUCUCCCGUAAAGCAUUCCUGGUUAACCCCAACGUGCCGUCUCUGGCAAUUAGUGGUGUCACGCUUGUAAAGCACUGAUGAGUUCUGAUCCAGCGCAGUGCACAGUCACUGCCCUCAAAGCAAUCCUCAGCUCACACAGCUAAACACACGGCCUGUCUGACAGACAGAAAGGAAGUACAGCAUCAGCAAUGACUCUUCAUGCCCUCCAGCCAAGUGCACACGUGUGGCUUCCCGACUACAUGUGUCUCAGAGUCAUAUCGCUACCAGAAUUCUGCUCUGCUUUACACAGCUGUGCUGCUAGACACCUGGAAUGAAAGCGUCCUCGUCUCCGCAGUGUGCUCCCUCUGCUAGGGAAGAAUUUGGGUAUGAACAAUGAUAAACACCGUGUGCAAACAAUGAUUUUGGUCCCAAGUCCCAGCAAUGCCAUAAGGCAUGGACCAUUUACUUGGCACAUUCAGUACAACUAUCAAAGAAAUUCUUCAGCUCUUUAUAGUGCAUCAGCCUCACAUCAGUGAGCAUCUAGCACGCUGUGAUAAGAAAAAUAUGCCUAAUAAUACCCCAGGUGGUAGCACGGACAUUUGGCAUUGAGUUAACCACCUCUCUCACUAAGUCUUUCACCGUCUUUGCCCAGCUGUUUGUGAGAAGGUACCAAGGAAGAGGACAGCCUGGGGAUGUGGAGAGUCCGGCUCACACCAAGGUGGGGAACUGGAAAGAGGACGAGGAGACCAUGGCUAGAAAGGAUCUCUCAGCCAACUUCUGCUGCAGCUGAAAAUGUGAUAAGUCUCAAGGGACACUAAAUUUGUAAAAGUACUGUGGCAAUCCAUGACACAGAAAGGGUGAGUCAAAGCAAGUUGCACUGCUGUUACACACACAGUGUGGCAGCAGCCAAUGUGUUAAUCAGCAUGUGGCUGAGCUGCACAGACAGCACACAUACCCUGCUGAGUUACUGCCAGCAUAUGCUGCCAUGCCUAGGGGUGUCAAAGGGAGUGCAAAGGAGGCUGAGGUCACUGUGCUAUGGUUAGGGCAGGGAAGAGAUCAGAGGGCAAAGACACAAAGCCAUGUGCAAACAGGAUCUACAUCCUUCCAGUAUUCACAACAACAGCUUCUUGAGGAUUAUUAUUUAACUCUGUAUUUGAGACUGAGAUACGACACUUGUAUUACUUGAAAGCCCCUACUAAGCAAGAAGACAAAUUACAGGAUUUAGUUGUCCCUUUCAAUGAGAAAACAAUAAACACUUGGAUUAUUUCAUUCUCAUUUUUGCUCUUCAUUUCUAUUUGCAAGCUCUGGAAAUGCUUAAGAACCUUUCUGAUAACAUUGCUGGUCUAGCCAGAAGCUGGAAGUGCCUUUAAUGAAUACCCACAGGGUUCAGGUACUCAUGAGGAUGCUCCAGAUGAAUGUCUGCUCAGUAACAAAAAAACUGCCAGGAUGUCCAAGGAGGAGAAACAGGUUCCUGUUCAACUUUGUAUCUCACUUGCUGAGUGACGUUUAACCCAUCUGAGCCUCUUUACUCGUGUAUAGUAGAACUAGUUAUACUGACUGCAUGAGUACGUGCUGCAUGAGACCACAUAAAGGUCUGUAAAAACUGCUUUGAGAGUCAUCUGGGAGAAGUGUUACUAUGAUGAGUACAUGAAAAAUUAUCAUUUGGAAGACGUGAAAUCAUCACCUAAAUAUGUGCUUUCUAGUUCUCUGAAACAAAAGACCUUUGAGAUUCAAAAGUGAAGAGUUCAAAAGAUGAACUUCAUCUUCCUAAAACGCUGCGAAAUGUGCAUUUUGCAUUUGAAGAUCUAAAAGCACAUUACAAAUUGUUGAAACUCUUGAACAACCUGCUCUACAUCACUCAAAAAUUACAUUUAAGGGUUUGGACUAGAAUCACAGAAUUCUUGAUUUUACUUCACAUCCCGUAUAUCUCAACUAGGGGAGAAUUUAAUUUCCUCAAUUGUAUAAAGUCUCCCAUCUUUCAAAGACGAUGGAGCUCCAGGAAUAAUGCUGGAGCUGUGCCAGAAGAUGGUGGCAAGUAGGAGAAUUGUGCCUCUCAUUGUUUGGAUAAAGGUCGUAAUUCAUGCCAAGCUGGUCUAAAAAAAUCUGCAUCAAGUGUGAUAUAUUGAUGGAGGAGGAGGGACUGGUUUAUCUCACAGCUUCAAGAAGGAAUUUUCUGAGUUGUUGAUAGCCUGUUCUAAAAAGCCACGUACCCUUUUCCAUACAUGCAACCAACAUAUCUGUGCUUCAUGGCCAAUGGGAAUAACAAUGGCAAACAGCAGGUGAUUUUAGAGUCUCCAAAACAGGACCAGAUGUGGGUCUGCAAAGGAGCUUACAAGCUUCUGAAGUAGAUCUACAUAAAUAACGUUCCCAGGCAUUUGUGUGGGCUUCAGUGAAUGCGCUCUGGACUUGAUGUGUUCACUCGUGGAGGCGAGGCUUACUCAGUAUGCUGGCUGAGGACAAAAUACAUCAGACACUUCGGAAAGGAAUUCCACCAGCAAAGCAGCAACACAAGAGGGUGUUUUGUGGAGGAUUUUCAAAUGGCUGUUUCUGUGAACAGAGACUCACUCCCUCAAAUGUCAACGUUUUAGAUGCAAGGAAAAUACUAAGGACAACUCAAUUUUGGAGAAAAGACUUAAAUUUUAGUUGUGUGUAAGUACAAAAUAAAAACAUUUCAAAGUGAAGAAUCAUACCAACAUAGUUCUGAUUAAAUAAUCCACUACUAAGAGCGUUGAAGCGACACCUUUUGGCAUAUGUGUUUUCUUGUGUCUUCCACUGUAACUACCAACAAAAAAGUUGUCAGAUUUUUUUACAAGUUUUGUGUACGAAUUAAAUCAAUUAAUUGCUGUACUGAUCUAAUAUAAAUGGACACAUACAUUCUAUGCAGAAAAAAAGAUCUAAUCCUUUUAAAAUCCUGUUAUAAUCUGUGUAAUAUCUUGUAGCAGCAAGUACCAUGCACCAAUUAUACUUUGAAAGUACUUUCUUUAAUAAACUGUACAUGCUCUACCAGGCAGCUUAACUUAGAGUGCUUUGUUCUCUCAUAGGAGCAAUCAAUUUUACUUUUUCCAUAUAAU
rnacentral:lncRNA from 1 species